CUUGUACUCCCUCCGUCCGAAAAUAUUUGUCAUUGAAAUGGAUGUAUCUAGAUGUAUUUUAGUUCUAGACACAUCCAUUUUGAUGACAAGUAAUUCUGGAUGGAGGGAGUACUUC
rnacentral:pre_miRNA from 1 species